UUAUUUUUAAACAUUUUCUAAUAAACUUUUAAAUCUGUUCUUAUCAGUUUAAUGUCUGAUAUGUUCUCUAUCUGAGAACUCUAUAUUAAAUGGAUUUUUGAAACAGGGAGAUGGAAUAGGAGCUUGCUCCAUCCACUCUAUGCAUCAACCUGAUAUCGCAGUAUCUCCAGGAAUGGUGCACCUCCC
ensembl:snRNA U2 U2 spliceosomal RNA